rnacentral:rRNA from 1 species
AACGAACGCUGGCGGCAUGCCUAACACAUGCAAGUCGAACGAGACCUUCGGGUCUAGUGGCGCACGGGUGCGUAACGCGUGGGAACCUGCCCUUAGGUUCGGAAUAACUCCCCGAAAGGUGUGCUAAUACCGGAUAAUGUCUUCGGACCAAAGAUUUAUCGCCUUUGGAUGGGCCCGCGUUGGAUUAGCUAGUUGGUAGGGUAAAAGCAUACCAAGGCGACGAUCCAGAGCUGGUCUGAGAGGAUGAUCAGCCACACUGGGACUGAGACACGGCCCAGACUCCUACGGGAGGCAGCAGUGGGGAAUAUUGGACAAGGGGCGAAAGCCUGAUAAAGCAAUGCCGCGUGAGUGAUGAAGGCCUUAGGGUUGUAAAGCUCUUUUACCCGGGAUGAUAAUGACAGUACCGGGAGAAUAAGCUCCGGCUAACUCCGUG